rnacentral:tRNA from 1 species
AUUUUAGAAAUCAUUAGAUGAUGGACUGUAAAUCCAUAUUUGAAUUUUAGCUCUUCUAGCCUU